AGUGGGACUCUUCCUUAGAGUCUUAGUCGGAGUAAGACUCUUCACCAGAGUCACAAUCCAAUUGGACUCUUCAGCCAUCUAAUCUGAUCAAAUCUUCUAAUAUGUGUGACCCUAUAGAUUUAAACCUAAGCUGACAAUAUGGGAACAACUUUCUAUACCAAUCGAUGUAACCAUCUAGCAACGAUGAUCCAACGGUCGGAUAGGUCGAAGUAUUGCAAAGCAACUUUCUAGAAUCUAUUGACAUAUGGUUAUCAUAUAAUUCAUC
rnacentral:lncRNA from 1 species